UACGAAGGGGGCUAGCGUUGUUCGGAAUUACUGGGCGUAAAGGGCGCGUAGGCGGUGUGUCAAGUCAGGCGUGAAAGCCCCGGGCUCAACCUGGGAACCGCGCUUGAGACUGGCACGCUAGAGUUCGGGAGAGGAUGGUGGAAUUCCCAGUGUAGAGGUGAAAUUCGUAGAUAUUGGGAAGAACACCGAUGGCGAAGGCAGCCAUCUGGACCGAAACUGACGCUGAGGCGCGAAAGCGUGGGGAGCAAACAGG
rnacentral:rRNA from 1 species